GUUGGGUGAACCAAGACAGAGACAAAAAGUGGGGUUUGACGGAGACAACGGCUAUCUCUAGCCACCUAACCUACUUCAUAUCUGCCCUGAAUACAAGAUCUUGGGCUUCAUUUCGAAUUAAUUUUGGGUUGGAUUCUCUUCUAUCAGCGUCUGCACGGCUACACAUUGACAGUGUUUUAUUUGGCUUUGAAGCAAAGCGUAUGUUUUGAUGUUGCUAGCAUGGAUGACGAGGACGAUGGCUGAGAGUUGGACUAGGCAACAACAACUAUAGUAUUGCUGUGGUCAGAGAUUGAUGUUCAAGUACUUUAGCAUCAUAUCAGUCAUGAUUUUAACAAUUUUGACUGUGUUUCUUGUGGUACUGCCGCUGGUUUUGCCACCACUGCCGCCGCCGCCUUUAGUACUUCUUUUUGUUCCGGUUCUGAUCCUGGCUGUUCUCGUUUUAAUGGCGUUUUCUCCUUUGCCGCGAGUUCCAGGUCAUAUGGCCGUCGCAUCUGUUUUGAUAUGAGUAUUAAUGAAGCAGCUUUCUUCAACUUUUUGUUUGUCUGGAGGUUUGGCCAAACUCUCCCAUUACUCUCUCUUUUUAUUUUUAUUUUUUGUAAAUAUAUAUUAACGUGAGAUUGGAACUUCUUUUUUUUUUU